rnacentral:rRNA from 1 species
UACGAGUGCCUCGAGCGUUAUCCGGAAUCAUUGGGCGUAAAGGGUGCGUAGGCGGCGAUGUUAGUCUCUCGUAAAAUCUUUCGGCUCAACCGAGAGUCCGCGGGAGAAACGGCAUUGCUAGAGGAUGGUAGGGGUCUCUGGAACUCAUGGUGUAGCGGUGAAAUGCGUUGAUAUCAUGGGGAACACCAAAAGCGAAGGCAAGAGACUGGACCACUCCUGACGCUGAAGCACGAAAGCGUGGGUCGCGAAUGGG